rnacentral:rRNA from 1 species
UACAGAGGGUGCGAGCGUUAAUCGGAAUUACUGGGCGUAAAGCGUGCGUAGACGGUAGCGUAAGUCAGAUGUGAAAGCCCCGGGCUCAACCUGGGAAUUGCAUUUGAGACUGCUCUGCUCGGGUGCGGAAGAGGGAAGCGGAAUUUCCGGUGUAGCGGUGAAAUGCGUAGAUAUCGGAAGGAACACCUGUGGCGAAAGCGGCUCACUGGACCAUAACUGACGCUGAGGCACGAAAGCUAGGGGAGCAAACAGG